rnacentral:rRNA from 1 species
UACGUAGGGUCCAAGCGUUAUCCGGAAUUACUGGGCGUAAAGAGUUGCGUAGGUGGCAUAGUAAGCGAGUAGUGAAAGCGUGUGGCUCAACCAUACAUCCAUUACUUGAACUGCUAAGCUAGAAGAUGAGAGAGGUAGAUGGAAUUCCUGAUGUAGGGGUAAUAUCCGUAGAUAUUAGGAGGAACACCGAUGGCGUAGGCAGUCUACUGGCUCAUUCUUGACACUCAGGCACGAAAGCGUGGGGAGCAAACAGG